rnacentral:lncRNA from 1 species
AUGUCCCUGUCCCCCAUGUCCCUGUCCUGGUCCCCGUCCCCCCCCGUCCCUGUCCCAGUCUUCCAUGUCUCUGUCCUUCUCCCCUGUGUCUGUGUCCCCUCCAUGUCCCUGCCCUCCUGUCCCUGUCCUGAUCCUCCUCCCUGUCCCUGCCCCAGUCCCUCCAUGCACCUGUCCUGGUCCCACUGCCCUAGUUCCAGUUUCCCCCAUGUCCCAGUCCCAGGCCCCCAUGUCCCUGUCCCAGUUCCCUCAUGUCUGUGUCUCCAUCCCAGUACCCCCAUGUCUGUUCCCUGUUCCUGUGUCUGUGUCCCUGUCUUGGUCCCCCAUGUCCUUGCCCCAGUUCCUGCAUGCUCCUGCCCUGGUCCCAGUGCCCCCACAUCCCUGUCCCCUCAUGUUCCAGUUCCAGUCCUCCAUGUCUCUGCCCUGGGCCCCCAUGUCUCUGUCCUGGGCCCCCACAUCCCGGUCCCAGUGCACCUGACACGGUCCUGGUCCCCCUGCAUCUUGGUCCAUAUCCCCCCAUGUCCUGGUCCCCAUCCCUCCACACUCCUGUCCUGGUCCCAGUCUCCUGUGUCCCUGUCCCAGUCCUUCAUGUCCCUGUCCUGUUCCCCCGUGUCUGUGUCCUGGUCCCCUCUGCCCCUGUCCCAGUCCCUCCACGCACCUGUCCUAGUCCUAGUGCCCCCAUGUCCCUACCCCCACAUCCCUGUCCCAGCCCUCCAUGUCCCUGCCUUGGUCCUCUGUAUCCAUGUCCUGGUCCCCCAUGUCAUGCUCCCAGUGUCCCUGUCCCAGUCCCUCUGCACACCUGUCCUGGUCUCAGUGUCUUGGUCCUGGUUCCCCCCAUCCUGGUCCUGGUCUCCUCUGUCCGUGUCCCAGUGCCUCCACGUCACUGCCCUGGUCCCCCACAUCUGUGCCCUGGUCCCCAGUGUCCUGGUCCCAUUGCCCCUGUCACAGUCCCGGUCCCCACACACCCUGGUGCCAGUGCCCCUGUGUCCCUGCUCCAGUCCCUCCAUGUCCCUGUCCUGUUCCCCCAUGUCCAUGUUCCGGUCCCGCCAUGUCCUGGUCCCAGUCCCCCAUGUCCCCGUCCCAGUUCCUCCAUGUCCCCGUCCCCGUCCCCCACGCCUCUGUCCCGGUCCCCCCGCUCCCUGGUCCCCGUGCCCCCGUGUCCCUGCCCCUGUCACUCCAUGUCCCUGUCCUGGUACCCCACGCCUGUGUCCCGGUUCCCCACAUCCUGGUCCCCGUCUCCUGUGUCCCCGUCCCUCCACGUCCCUGCCCCUGUCCCUCCAUGUCCCCGUCCCGGUCCCCCCCGCCCCCGCCCCCCGCACCCACCGUGCGGCGCCACCACCUCGACGCCGAGGAGCGGCGGGUCGAUGCCGGCGGCGCCCCGCGGUCCCCAACCGGGAGCGGGCCCGGGGCCGAGCUCCGGCGGGCCGGGGCCGGAACCGUUGCCGUUGCCGUUGCCGUUACCGACUCUGA